rnacentral:rRNA from 1 species
UACGUAGGGUGCAAGCGUUGCCCGGAUUUAUUGGGCGUAAAGGGCGCGUAGGCGGCUCUGCACGUCCGUUGUGAAAUCGCCCGGCUCAACUGGGCGGGGUCAGCGGAUACGGCAGAGCUUGAGCAAGCUAGGGGGCAAUGGAAUUCCCGGUGUAGUGGUGGAAUGCGUAGAUAUCGAGAGGAACACCUGCGGCGAAGGCGGGUUGCUGGGCUGACACUGACGCUGAUGUGCGAAAGCUAGGGGAGCGAACGGG